rnacentral:rRNA from 1 species
AAAUUGAAGAGUUUGAUCAUGGCUCAGAUUGAACGCUGGCGGCAGGCCUAACACAUGCAAGUCGAACGGUAACAGGAAGCAGCUUGCUGCUUUGCUGACGAGUGGCGGACGGGUGAGUAAUGUCUGGGAAACUGCCUGAUGGAGGGGGAUAACUACUGGAAACGGUAGCUAAUACCGCAUAACGUCGCAAGACCAAAGAGGGGGACCUUCGGGCCUCUUGCCAUCGGAUGUGCCCAGAUGGGAUUAGCUAGUAGGUGGGGUAAAGGCUCACCUAGGCGACGAUCCCUAGCUGGUCUGAGAGGAUGACCAGCCACACUGGAACUGAGACACGGUCCAGACUCCUACGGGAGGCAGCAGUGGGGAAUAUUGCACAAUGGGCGCAAGCCUGAUGCAGCCAUGCCGCGUGUAUGAAGAAGGCCUUCGGGUUGUAAAGUACUUUCAGCGGGGAGGAAGGGAGUAAAGUUAAUACCUUUGCUCAUUGACGUUACCCGCAGAAGAAGCACCGGCUAACUCCGUGCCAGCAGCCGCGGUAAUACGGAGGGUGCAAGCGUUAAUCGGAAUUACUGGGCGUAAAGCGCACGCAGGCGGUUUGUUAAGUCAGA